GCCUUUAAACCAGUCAACAAAAAUAAAAAGGAACAUAAAAGAUAAUCAAUGCACGUGGGAAGAGAGAGAAAGAUAGGUUUAAACGGAUUGAAACGUGGAACACACAUUCCUCUCUCACCUCCAAUCAACUCAGUUAUCCCACCGUUACCUCCCCGCCGUGCCGGUGGUCGCCUCCGGCGGCAGAGGCACUCUUAAACACCAGUCAAGAACCACAUCUAAACCAUCUCUACACCCUGAGUCUGAAAACACAAGUGGAGUCUCCUAAUUCUCCCUGACUUCCUCAAAUCGAAAAGAAAGAGCUAAAAACCCUAACUGAUAAAAUGUGAAAUUAAAUCCUCACCACCCGGAAUCAAUUCCACCUAGGUGAGGGCUUAGAUUCCCAACGCCGAACCCUACAUUCUUAUAACAAGAAUGAAUCAAAAAGAGUCGUAAAUUGGAUACUCACCGGCAACGAAGACGCAGUGGCACCGGAGUCAGGUGAAGCUAAAUGAAUCAACAUGGAGUUUCUUGCACAAAAGGAGACCUGCUGAACUGGUAAUACAUUGCUUUGACUACAACUUUUGUUAGCUUGGUAUGGGGCUGAUUUUGUUUGUUGCGUGGUACACUAUUAUCCUUCAUUUUGGCAAUAUCAUCUUGAUAUUGAAGCUUGUAAUCACAAGACGACUCAAAGUGAAAAGGUUCAGCAUUCAUUACAUUGCAAUCAUCAGAUGCAAAUCAUGUUUCUGAAUCUUGUUUUGAGGAAGAACCUACUAAGUAUGUUUCCUGAUAAAAAAAUUGAACGUGCAUUUGGAAGCUGCUGUCACAUGGAUUUUUAAAAUUACUUUUGCCAUCAAGAAGAAAACUCUGGGGCUCCCAAAGCAUUCAUUUUUUCUGGCACAUUUCCAGGAGGUAAAGCCUCAGAAGAUUCAUAAUAGGAAAAGAGAGAAGCAUGAGCUCCUUUCCAGCAAGGUUUGCUGCUAUAUUCACACGGAGAUUUAAACCAAAGAAAGAAGCAACCUUCUUUAUAUCAUGGAUUUUUGUGUGUCCAAAGCCUCCAUCUAGAACAAAAUGCCAAGGCUUAAAUCUGUACCUGACCCUUUUAUUGUUUAUCUUGCUGACCCAUGUGUUUGUCACAUACGUCAAUAUAUGAAAAGUGACGGUCCCCUGAACCUACAGCUAAUUUCAAAGGGAGCUCAUGAUGAGUCUCUAGAGACAAUGAAGGAGAUUGCAAAACUGAUGUAUAUGAAAUUAGUUUGUCAAUAACUUGUGUAUGGUUUGUAAUUUUGCUUCAAAUGGAAUGAAUAUGGUUGUAAUUUUGUAAAUGGUUUAUGAUUUGAAUGUGAAUUGUUUUGGUUUAAUGUAA